UACGUAGGGUGCGAGCGUUUGUCCGGAAUUAUUGGGCGUAAAGGGCUCGUAGGCGGUCUGUUGCGUCGGGAGUGAAAACUCAGGGCUUAACCCUGAGCCUGCUUCCGAUACGGGCAGACUAGAGGUAUGCAGGGGAGAACGGAAUUCCUGGUGUAGCGGUGAAAUGCGCAGAUAUCAGGAGGAACACCGGUGGCGAAGGCGGGUCUCUGGGCAACAACUGACGCUGAGGAGCGAAAGCGUGGGGAGCGAACAGG
rnacentral:rRNA from 1 species